AGUGAACGCUGGCGGUAGGCCUAACACAUGCAAGUCGAACGGCAGCACAGUAAGAGCUUGCUCUUACGGGUGGCGAGUGGCGGACGGGUGAGGAAUACAUCGGAAUCUACUUUUUCGUGGGGGAUAACAUAGGGAAACUUACGCUAAUACCGCAUACGACCUACGGGUGAAAGCAGGGGAUCUUCGGACCUUGCGCGAUUGAAUGAGCCGAUGUCGGAUUAGCUAGUUGGCGGGGUAAAGGCCCACCAAGGCGACGAUCCGUAGCUGGUCUGAGAGGAUGAUCAGCCACACUGGAACUGAGACACGGUCCAGACUCCUACGGGAGGCAGCAGUGGGGAAUAUUGGACAAUGGGCGCAAGCCUGAUCCGGCCAUACCGCGUGGGUGAAGAAGGCCUUCGGGUUGUAAAGCCCUUUUGUUGGGAAAGAAAAGCAGCAGGUUAAUACCCCGCUGUUCUGACGGUACCCAAAGAAUAAGCACCGGCUAACUUCGUG
rnacentral:rRNA from 1 species